UCUGCGGUUUCCGAGAGGAAUUAAACCGGAAUCAGGUGCAAGUCCUGAGCAACCGCCAUUACCGUAAGGAACGAAUCAUUUGCAACGCCAUCGGAAACGAGAAGGCGCAAAUGUAUUCUUAUUAAUAUAUUAAUAAGAUAUAUUCCGAGCCGGGAUACCUGCCGCAGAAUAU
rnacentral:ncRNA from 1 species